CCCGGCGGCGGACGGGGGCGGCGCCGCGGCUUUCGCCUCCUGUGCGACCUGGGGAGGCUCGGGGGACUCGGGCUCCGGGCCCGGCGUCGAGUC
rnacentral:tRNA from 1 species